rnacentral:rRNA from 2 species
GCUGAUGGAGCACACCGCGUGAGUGAAGAAGGGUUUCGGCUCGUAAAGCUCUGUUGUUAAAGAAGAACACGUAUGAGAGUAACUGUUCAUACGUUGACGGUAUUUAACCAGAAAGUCACGGCUAACUACGUGCCAGCAGCCGCGGUAAUACGUAGGUGGCAAGCGUUAUCCGGAUUUAUUGGGCGUAAAGAGAGUGCAGGCGGUUUUCUAAGUCUGAUGUGAAAGCCUUCGGCUUAACCGGAGAAGUGCAUCGGAAACUGGAUAACUUGAGUGCAGAAGAGGGUAGUGGAACUCCAUGUGUAGCGGUGGAAUGCGUAGAUAUAUGGAAGAACACCAGUGGCGAAGGCGGCUACCUGGUCUGCAACUGACGCUGAGACUCGAAAGCAUGGGUAGCGAACAGGAUUAGAUACCCUGGUAGUCCAUGCCGUAAACGAUGAGUGCUAGGUGUUGGAGGGUUUCCGCCCUUCAGUGCCGGAGCUAACGCAUUAAGCACUCCGCCUGGGGAGUACGACCGCAAGGUUGAAACUCAAAGGAAUUGACGGGGGCCCGCACAAGCGGUGGAGCAUGUGGUUUAAUUCGAAGCUACGCGAAGAACCUUACCAGGUCUUGACAUCUUGCGCCAACCCUAGAGAUAGGGCGUUUCCUUCGGGAACGCAAUGACAGGUGGUGCAUGGUCGUCGUCAGCUCGUGUCGUGAGAUGUUGGGUUAAGUCCCGCAACGAGCGCAACCCUUGUUACUAGUUGCCAGCAUUAAGUUGGGCACUCUAGUGAGACUGCCGGUGACAAACCGGAGGAAGGUGGGGACGACGUCAGAUCAUCAUGCCCCUUAUGACCUGGGCUACACACGUGCUACAAUGGACGGUACAACGAGUCGCGAACUCGCGAGGGCAAGCAAAUCUCUUAAAACCGUUCUCAGUUCGGACUGCA